rnacentral:tRNA from 4 species
GCGGAAUUAGCACAUCGGUAGUGCGUGGGCUUCCCAAGCCUGAGAGGCGGGUUCGAUUCCCGUAUUCCGCUCUA